rnacentral:rRNA from 1 species
GAAUUGACGGGGGCCCGCACAAGCGGAGGAACAUGUGGUUUAAUUNGAUGAUACGCGAGGANCNUUNNNNNGGCUUAAAUUGCAGUGGAAUAACGUGGAAACAUGUUAGCCUUCGGGCCGCUGUGAAGGUGCUGCAUGGUUGUCGUCAGCUCGUGCCGUGAGGUGUCGGCUUAAGUGCCAUAACGAGCGCAACCCUCAUCGAUAGUUACUAACAGGUUAAGCUGAGGNNUNUAUCGAGACUGCCGACGUAAGUCGUGAGGAAGGUGGGGAUGACGUCAAAUCAGCACGGCCCUUACGUCCAGGGCUACACACGUGUUACAAUGGGGGGUACAAAGGGCAGCUACCUGGCGACAGGAUGCUAAUCUCAAAAACCUCUCUCAGUUCGGAUUGGAGUCUGCAACCCGACUCCAUGAAGCUGGAUUCGCUAGUAAUCGCGCAUCAGCCACGGCGCGGUGAAUACGUUCCCGGGCCUUGUACACACCGCCCGUCAAGCCAUGGGAGCCGGGGGGACCUGAAGUAUGCAACCGUAAGGAGCGUCCUAGGGUAAAACUGGUGACUGGGGCU